rnacentral:rRNA from 1 species
UACGUAGGGUGCAAGCGUUACUCGGAAUUACUGGGCGUAAAGCGUGCGUAGGUGGUGAGUUAAGUCUGAUGUGAAAUCCCCGGGCUCAACCUGGGAAUGGCAUUGGAUACUGGCUCGCUCGAGUGCGGUAGAGGGUGGUGGAAUCCCCGGUGUAGCAGUGAAAUGCGUAGAGAUCGGGAGGAACAUCUGUGGCGAAGGCGGCCACCUGGACCAGCACUGACACUGAGGCACGAAAGCGUGGGGAG